UCCCAGGGGUUUUUGGUACCUCAAAGCCCGGAGCAAUUUUGCCAUUUUUGCGGUAUUGUACCCAUGUAAACUAUAUAUUGUUUUUUCAAGGAGAGAUUGAGCUUUCUUUUGAUACCAUAGUUGGAUGAUUAGCUGAAAAUUUAGAAUGAGAAAUUUAGUAAAAACUAGCGAA